AUUGAAUUAGCAACAACACUUGGGAUUGAAGUGCUAAAUUGAAAUGGCACUUUUUGGGCACUUUUUGAGCAAAAAAAGGUGAUAAAAUGUUAUUAGUGAGAAGUGAAGAUGAUUACAAAAAUAAAAUCUUAUAUUGAGUCUGCGCUCCACUUCUCAUUUAUAAUCUUAUGAUGAUAUAGCAGGAGAUUGCUAUGUUGCCUGGCAGAGGCUUUGUAUCUGGCCAUUAGUCUCAACAGAUGACGACACUUCUGUUCAAUCUCAUAUCCUAUCCACACUGGAUGUAAAACACGCAUGUGGCGCUGACUGGUGCGUUAACCAGUUUUAAAAAUUAUAAUCCUUUCCAUCUGUUAAUAAUUGAGCAGGUGGUUUUU
rfam:Listeria phage LP-030-3, complete genome.